ensembl:snRNA U6 U6 spliceosomal RNA
GUCUCACUUUGGUACCACACAGGCUAAAAACUGAAACAAAACAAAGAAGAUUAGCAUGGUCCUCAUCCACAGAUGGACGACAUGCAAAUUCAUGAAGCAUGUCGUAUUUUU